rnacentral:rRNA from 1 species
UACGUAGGGGGCAAGCGUUGUCCGGAUUCAUUGGGCGUAAAGAGCGUGUAGGCGGCCAGGUAGGUCGGUUGUGAAAACUGGAGGCUCAACCUUCAGAGGUCGACCGAAACCAUCUGGCUAGAGUCCGGGAGAGGAGAGUGGAAUUCCUGGUGUAGCGGUGAAAUGCGCAGAUAUCAGGAAGAACACCCGUGGCGAAAGCGGCUCUCUGGAACGGUACUGACGCUGAGACGCGAAAGCGUGGGGGAGCAAACAGG